rnacentral:rRNA from 1 species
UACGGGGGGGGCAAGCGGUUGUUCGGAAUUACUGGGCGUAAAGGGCUCGUAGGCGGCCAACUAAGUCAGACGUGAAAUCCCUCGGCUUAACCGGGGAACUGCGUCUGAUACUGGAUGGCUUGAGAUUGGGAGAGGGAUGCGGAAUUCCAGGUGUAGCGGUGAAAUGCGUAGAUAUCUGGAGGAACACCGGUGGCGAAGGCGGCAUCCUGGACCAACACUGACGCUGAGGAGCGAAAGCUGGGGGAGCGAACGGG